UGGGGAAUUUUGGACAAUGGGCGAAAGCCUGAUCCAGCAAUGCCGCGUGUGUGAAGAAGGCCUUCGGGUUGUAAAGCACUUUUGUCCGGAAAGAAAUCCUCUGGGUUAAUACCUCGGGGGGAUGACGGUACCGGAAGAAUAAGCACCGGCUAACUACGUGCCAGCAGCCGCGGUAAUACGUAGGGUGCAAGCGUUAAUCGGAAUUACUGGGCGUAAAGCGUGCGCAGGCGGUUUUGUAAGACGGAUGUGAAAUCCCCGGGUUUAACCUGGGAACUGCAUUCGUGACUGCAAGGCUAGAGUAUGGCAGAGGGGGGUAGAAUUCCACGUGUAGCAGUGAAAUGCGUAGAGAUGUGGAGGAAUACCGAUGGCGAAGGCAGCCCCCUGGGCCAAUACUGACGCUCAUGCACGAAAGCGUGGGGAGCAAACAGGAUUAGAUACCCUGGUAGUCCACGCCCUAAACGAUGUCAACUAGUUGUUGGGGAUUCAUUUCCUUAGUACGUAGCUAACGCGUGAGUUGACCGCCUGGGGAGUACGGUCGCAAGAUUAAAACUUAAAGGAAUUGACGGGGUCAUAGCUGUUU
rnacentral:rRNA from 1 species